UUCUACGGGAGGCAGCAGUGGGGAAUUUCACGGGGGGCAGCAGUGGGGAAUAUUGGGCAAUGGCCGAAAGGCUGACCCAGCAACGCCGCGUGGUGGAUGAAGCCCUUCGGGGUGUAAACACCUUUUCUGGGGGAAGAUAAUGACGUA
rnacentral:rRNA from 1 species